GCCCGGGCCACGCGCGCCGCCGCCGCCGCCCACGCGCGACCCUCGGGGGCCCGGCCGCGACGCCCCUUUGUCCGGGGGGGGCCCCCCCCGCUUCAUGCCGCCGCCCCCCUCACGCGCCGCGUGCCCGGCCGCGCCCAGCAGGGUUUCCAGGCCUGAGGUGCCCGCCCUGGCCCCAGGAGAAUGAACCAGCCGCAGAGGAUGGCGCCUGUGGGCACAGACAAGGAGCUCAGUGACCUCCUGGACUUCAGCAUGAUGUUCCCGCUGCCUGUCACCAACGGGAAGGGCCGGCCCGCCUCCCUGGCCGGGGCGCAGUUCGGAGGUUCAGGUCUUGAGGACCGGCCCAGCUCAGGCUCCUGGGGCAGCGGCGACCAGAGCAGCUCCUCCUUUGACCCCAGCCGGACCUUCAGCGAGGGCACCCACUUCACUGAGUCGCACAGCAGCCUCUCUUCAUCCACAUUCCUGGGACCGGGACUCGGAGGCAAGAGCGGUGAGCGGGGCGCCUAUGCCUCCUUCGGGAGAGACGCAGGCGUGGGCGGUCUGACUCAGGCUGGCUUCCUGUCAGGCGAGCUGGCCCUCAGCAGCCCCGGGCCCCUGUCCCCUUCGGGCAUGAAGGGGACCUCCCAGUACUACCCCUCCUACUCCGGCAGCUCCCGGCGGAGAGCGGCAGACGGCAGCCUAGACACGCAGCCCAAGAAGGUCCGGAAGGUCCCGCCGGGUCUUCCAUCCUCGGUGUACCCGCCCAGCUCAGGUGAGGACUACGGCAGGGAUGCCGCCGCCUACCCGUCCGCCAAGACCCCCAGCAGCACCUAUCCCGCCCCCUUCUACGUGGCAGAUGGCAGCCUGCACCCCUCAGCUGAGCUCUGGAGUCCCCCGGGCCAGGUGGGCUUCGGGCCUAUGCUGGGUGGGGGCUCAUCCCCACUGCCCCUCCCGCCCGGUAGCGGCCCGGUGGGCAGCAGUGGAAGCAGCAGCACGUUUGGUGGCCUGCACCAGCACGAGCGCAUGGGCUACCAGCUGCAUGGAGCAGAGGUGAACGGUGGGCUCCCAUCUGCAUCCUCCUUCUCCUCAGCCCCCGGAGCCACGUACGGCGGCGUCUCCAGCCACACGCCGCCUGUCAGCGGGGCUGACAGCCUCCUGGGCUCCCGAGGGACCACAGCUGGCAGCUCCGGGGAUGCCCUCGGCAAAGCACUGGCCUCGAUCUACUCCCCGGAUCACUCAAGCAAUAACUUCUCGUCCAGCCCUUCCACCCCUGUGGGCUCCCCCCAGGGCCUGGCAGGGACAUCACAGUGGCCUCGAGCAGGAGCCCCCGGUGCCUUAUCGCCCAGCUACGACGGGGGUCUCCACGGCCUGCAGAGUAAGAUAGAAGACCACCUGGACGAGGCCAUCCAUGUGCUCCGCAGCCACGCCGUGGGCACAGCCGGCGACAUGCACACACUGCUGCCUGGCCACGGGGCGCUGGCCUCAGGUUUCACCGGCCCCAUGUCGCUGGGCGGGCGGCACGCAGGCCUGGUUGGAGGCAGCCACCCCGAGGACGGCCUCGCAGGCAGCACCAGCCUCAUGCACAACCACGCGGCCCUCCCCAGCCAGCCAGGCACCCUCCCUGACCUGUCUCGGCCUCCCGACUCCUACAGUGGGCUAGGGCGAGCAGGUGCCACGGCGGCUGCCGGCGAGAUCAAGCGGGAGGAGAAGGAGGACGAGGAGAACACGUCAGCGGCUGACCACUCAGAGGAGGAGAAGAAGGAGCUGAAGGCCCCCCGGGCCCGGACCAGCCCAGACGAGGACGAGGACGACCUUCUCCCCCCAGAGCAGAAGGCCGAGCGGGAGAAGGAGCGCCGGGUGGCCAAUAACGCCCGGGAGCGGCUGCGGGUCCGUGACAUCAACGAGGCCUUUAAGGAGCUGGGGCGCAUGUGCCAACUGCACCUCAACAGCGAGAAGCCCCAGACCAAACUGCUCAUCCUGCACCAGGCUGUCUCGGUCAUCCUGAACUUGGAGCAGCAAGUGCGAGCAGUACGGACGAGGUGCUGUCCCUGGAGGAGAAAGACCUGAGGGACCGGGAGAGGCGCAUGGCCAAUAACGCGCGGGAGCGGGUGCGCGUGCGGGAUAUUAACGAGGCCUUCCGGGAGCUGGGGCGCAUGUGCCAGAUGCACCUCAAGUCGGACAAAGCGCAGACCAAGCUGCUCAUCCUGCAGCAGGCCGUGCAGGUCAUCCUGGGGCUGGAGCAGCAGGUGCGAGAGCGGAACCUGAAUCCCAAAGCAGCCUGUUUGAAACGGCGAGAAGAGGAAAAGGUGUCGGGUGUGGUUGGAGACCCCCAGAUGGUGCUUUCAGCUCCCCACCCAGGCCUGAGCGAAGCCCACAACCCCACCGGGCACAUGUGAAAGGUAUGCCUCCGUGGGACGAGCCACACGUUCUCAGCCCUGUGCUCUGGCCCCAGAACGGCCACUCGAGACCCCGGGCUUCAUCCACAUCCACACCUCACACACCUGUUGUCAGCAUCGAGCCAACACCAACCUGACAAGGUUCGGAGUGAUGGGGGCGGCCAAGGUGACGCUGGGUCCAGGAGCUCCCUGGGGCCCUGGCCUACCACUCACUGGCCUCGCUCCCCCUGUCCCCGAAUCUCAGCCACCGUGUCACCCUGUGACCUGUCCCAUGGAUCCUGAAACUGCAUCUUGGCCCUGUUGCCUGGGCUGACAGGAGCUUUUUUUUUUUUUUUUUUCCCAGUAAACAAAACCUGAAAGCAAGCAACAAAACGUACACUUUGUCAGAGAAGAAAAAAAUGCCUUAACUAUAAAAAGCGGAGAAAUGGAAACAUAUCACUCAUGGGGGAUGCUGUGGAAACCUGGCUUAUUCUUCUAAAGCCACCAGCAAAUUGUGCCUAAGCGAAAUAUUUUUUUUAAGGAAAAUAAAAACAUUAGUUACAAGAUUUUUUUUUUCUUAAUGUAGAUGAAAAUUAGCAAGGAUGCUGCCUUUGGUCUCUGGUUUUUUUAAGCUUUUUUUGCAUAUGUUUUGUAAGCAACAAAUUUUUUUGUAUAAAAGUCCCGUGUCUCUCGCUAUUUCUGCUGCUGUUCCUAGACUGAGCAUUGCAUUUCUUGAUCAACCAGAUGAUUAAAUGUUGUAUUAAAAAGACCCCGUGUAAACCUGAGCCCCCCCGUCCCCCCCCACCCCAGAAGCCACUGCACACAGACAGAACGGGGACAGGCGGCGGGUCUUUUGUUUUUUUGAUGUUGGGGGUUCUCUUGGUUUUGUCAUGUGGAAAGUGAUGCGUGGGCGUUCCCUGAUGAAGGCACCUUGGGGCUUCCCUGUCGCAUCCUCUCCCCUCAGGAAGGGGACUGACCUGGGCUUGGGGGAAGGGACGUCAGCAAGGUGGCUCUGACCCUCCCAGGUGACUCUGCCAAGCAGCUGUGGCCCCCAGGGCUACCCUACACGACGUCCUCCCCAGGCCCCCCUAAGCUGCUCUCCCUUGGAACCUGCACAGCUCUCUGAAAUGGGGCAUUUUGUUGGGACCAAUGACCCCUGGCAUGGGGACCACACCCUGGAGCCCGGUGCUGGGGACCUCCUGGACACCCUGUCCUUCACUCCUUUGCCCCAGGGACCCAGGCUCAUGCUCUGAACUCUGGCUGAGGGGAUGCUGCUCAGGAGCCAGCACAGGACACCCCCCACCCCACCCCACCAUGUCCCCAUUACACCAGAGGGCCAUCGUGACGUAGACAGGAUGCCAGGGGCCUGGCCAGCCUCCCCCAAUGCUGGGGAGCAUCCCUGGGCCUGGGGCCACACCUGCUGCCCUCCCUCUGUGGGGUCCAAGGGCAAGAGUGGCUGGAGCCGGGGGACUGUGCUGGUAUGAGCCCCACGAAGGCCUUGGGCUGUGCGUCCGACCCUGCUGCAGAACCAGCAGGGUGGCCCCUCGGGCCCAUCUGUGUCCCAUGUCCCAGCACCCAGGCCUCUCUCCAGGUCUCCUUUUCUGAUCUUUUGCCAUGAGGGUAACCAGCUCUUCCCAGCUGGCUGGGGACUGUCUUGGGUUUAAAACUGCAAGUCUCCUACCCUGGGAUCCCAUCCAGUUCCACACGAACUAGUGCAGUGGUCACUGUGGCACCCAGAUGUGGGCCUGGCUAGCUGGGGGCCUUCCUGUGCCCUUCAUGCCCCUCCCUGCAUUGAGGCCUUGUGGACCCCUGGGCUGGCUGUGUUCAUCCCCGCUGCAGGUCGGGCGUCUCCCCCCGUGCCACCCCUGAGACUCCCACCGUUACCCCCAGGAGAUUCUGGACUGCCUGACUCCCCUCCCCAGACUGGCUUGGGAGCCUGGGCCCCAUGGCAGAUGCAAGGGAAACCUCAAGGCCAGCUCAAUGCCUGGAAUCUGCCCCCAGUCCAGGCCAGGCGGAGGGGAGGGGCUGUCCGGCUGCCUCUCCCUUCUCGGUGGCUUCCCCUGCGCCCUGGGGGUUUGAUCUCUUAAGGGAACUUGCCUCUCCCUCUUGUUUUGCUCCUGGCCCUGCCCCUAGGUCUGGGUGGGCAGUGGCCCCAUAGCCUCUGGAACUGUGCGUUCUGCAUAGAAUUCAAACGAGAUUCACCCAACCCUAGGAGGAAGAAACAGCAGUUCCUGGGAACCACAAUUAUAGGGGGGUGGGGGGUGUGAUCUGAGUGCCUCAAGAUGGUUUUCAAAAAAAAUUUUUUUAAAGAAAAUAAUUGUAUACGUGUCAACACAGCUGGCUGGAUGAUUGGGACUUUAAAACGACCCUCUUUCAGGUGGAUUCAGAGACCUGUCCUGUAUAUAACAGCACUGUAGCAAUAAACGUGACAUUUUAUAACGA